CUCCUUUAGCGGUUCUGCCUCCUCUCCAAAAUCCAGAUUCUCCAUCUCUUCUCCACCUCACCUCCAUCUCUUCUCCACCCCGUCGCCUCCCCUCUAUCUCUUCUCCACCCUGUCGCCUCCAUCCUCCAGCCGUGCUCCAUAGUGUAGCCCGUUGCCUCCAGUCUCCACGUCGGCGCCCCUCCACCCAACGACUCAUCGCCUCCUCCCUCAAUCAUCCAUGCCGCUCAAAAAGAAGAUGGUGAAUAAUGAAAGGCAAUCCAUUGGAGAUAGCAUUGAAAACAAUGUAACUGAAGUUACUCCCCACGAGGAUGACAAAGGAGAUGAAAAAAAGAGAACUUGAAAAGAGGAAUUUGAAACUUCGAAGAUAUUGAAGAGUGAACAAUUAUUAGAUAGUAGUAUGAAAUUUUUAUUUUGGUUGAUAUUGAUGUUAAUUUUCAUUUUGUUGGUUGAUGGAUGUUAAACACGCUAUAGUUUUGUAAUUUCUUCUUUUUUUCAGUUUUUUAUACAAUUUCGGUUUUUCAGUUUUUUCA